AUUUCAUCAAAGAAUCUACAGCAACGACAUUUCUGAGACAGAGAGGCUACGGCUGGCUUUUGGAAGUCGAAGAUGAGGAUCCUGAAGAUAAUAAGCCACUUUUGGAAGAAUUGGACAUUGACCUAAAGGAUAUUUACUACAAAAUCCGCUGUGUUUUGAUGCCAAUGCCAUCGCUUGGUUUUAAUAGACAAGUGGUGAGAGACAAUCCUGACUUUUGGGGUCCACUGGCUGUUGUUCUGUUCUUCUCCAUGAUAUCAUUAUAUGGACAGUUUAGGGUGGUCUCAUGGAUUAUAACCAUUUGGAUAUUUGGUUCACUGACAAUUUUCUUACUGGCUAGGGUUCUUGGUGGAGAAGUUGCAUAUGGCCAAGUUCUUGGAGUUAUAGGAUAUUCAUUACUUCCUCUCAUUGUAAUAGCCCCUAUACUUUUGGUGGUUGGAUCUUUUGAAAUGGUGUCUACACUUAUAAAAGUAAGUUAUACGGUGU
rnacentral:lncRNA from 1 species